rnacentral:tRNA from 1 species
UGGCUCAAUUGGUAGAAUAUGGCGCUUGCAACGCCAGGGUUGUGGGUUCAAUUCCCAU